rnacentral:rRNA from 1 species
GUGGGGAAUAUUGCACAAUGGGCGAAAGCCUGAUGCAGCAACGCCGCGUGAAGGAUGAAGGCCUUUGGGUCGUAAACUUCUGUCCUUGGGGAAGAAAAAAAUGACGGUACCCCUGGAGGAAGUCCCGGCUAACUACGUGCCAGCAGCCGCGGUAAUACGUAGGGGGCGAGCGUUAUCCGGAAUUAUUGGGCGUAAAGAGUACGUAGGUGGUUUUUUAAGCGCAGGGUUUAAGGCGAUGGCUCAACUGUCGUUCGCCCUGUGAACUGGAAGACUUGAGUACAGGAGAGGAAAGCGGAAUUCCUAGUGUAGCGGUGAAAUGCAUAGAUAUUAGGAGGAACACCAGUGGCGAAGGCGACUUUCUGGACGAAAACUGACGCUGAGGCGCGAAAGCCAGGGGAGCGAACGGGAUUAGAAACCCCAGUAGUCC